GUGCUCGCUUCGGCAGCACAUAUACUAAAAUUGGAACGAUACAGAAGAUUAGCAUGGCCCUGCAGGGAUGACAUAAAUUAAGUGAAGUUCCAUAUUUUU
rnacentral:snRNA from 1 species